GGAGGAAACACCUUCAUCUUAGAAAGCAUUUUUCAUUCUGAAAAGCAGGAGGAGAAAACUAAAACUCAGACAAAAAUCCUGCUUGGGAUAAAAGAAUGUGCAUUUGGCUGGUGCCCUCCCUGUCUCUCUCAGGAACUUGGGUUUGAUGCAGGGGUCAGAACUCAAACGGUGGCAGAAGGCAGGUAUGCAUGACUGAGAGAUGCUGGAGGUAGUGUGGAGUGAGGAACCGGAUGCACUUCCUGCACCAGGGACCCCUACAAACUCCUGACCACAACACCCACUCAGCCACAAAUGAUUAUUUCUGUGAAGAAAUGCAAGCCCCUGGUUGCCAGACCUUUCACGUGUUUCUGAUAACAAUCCCUAAAAUUUAAUAUUCAAUUUCUCAAUUUUGAAAGGUAAAAAAUAAUAAAUUGUGUUAAAUCCCUUGGGCUUACCAUGUACAGGCCAAACAAUACAUGUCUGAAGGCUGAACGUGGGCUCAUAACUACAAAUAAUUGGGAAGGAGAAAUGGGUAUUCAAGGAUUCCUCAAUGGUUCAACGGGUGAAAGCCAUUCAAUAUCAUCCAGAACUUCACUUUCACCUUCAUCUCAUUGUUACCCAUCCUUGUGCAUGUUUUUGAUAUCCCUAUGGUCCUGUCUACUCAAAAUAGACUCUUCCAUUGACCUCUUCUAGAGGUUUUGGUGUUUUUUGUUUGUUUGUUGUUGUUGUUGUUGUUUGGGUUUUUUUGGUUUUUGUUUUUUUGAGACAGAGUUUUGCUCUUGUCGCCCAGGCUGGAGUACAAUGGCGUGAUCUCGGCUUACUGCAACUUCUGCCUCCCAGGUUCAAGAGAUUCUCCUGCCUCAGGCUCCCCAGUAGUUAUGAUUACAGACGUGUGCCACCACACCCAGCUAAUUUUUGUAUUUUUAGCAGAGACGGAGUUUUGCCAUGUUGGCCAGGCUGGUCUCAAACUCCUGACCUCUGGUGAUCUGCCCACCUCGGCCUCCCAAAGUGCUGGUGUGAUCACAAGCAUGAGCCACCGUGCCCAGCCUAGAGGUCUAUUCUUAAUCCACCAGUUACCUUACAGGAAAUUUAGCUAAGGGUAUUUUUCAUUGUCAGUUAAUAAAAUAAAAGUGGAGAAGCAUCAGCAUUUGAUGUAUUCAGUUGGUAUCUUGAGAAAAGAUACAUGUUUUCUGAGCUUCCAUUAAAAAAAUAGAUUUAAGACAAGGCAUAGUGCCUCACACCUGUAAUCCCAGCACUU
rnacentral:lncRNA from 1 species